GCUGUGGAGCGCAACGGGGCGCAACUUUAACUGCAUGAGUUACACAUGCGACUGACUGCAUGGGUGCAAGUUAGGGUACUCGCACUCAUGCAAAAUCGCAUGUGUAAGUCACACUCGCAAAGCUGCACGGUAGCUGCAUGCAUCUUUCAUGUCCAAGAGGCUCACUGCAGAAAGGGUUUGAUAAAAUAAUGCGACACCUCUUUAUACAUCUGUGUGAUAAUACAGAGCAAUUUUAUAUUCCAGAUAAAUAAAGUUUCGAGUUUAGUUACUUGGGUGCAGUUGUGCCGUUUGAUGCCUCUGUGAUCCUAUGAUUGUUAUUUAAUGACAAGUAAAUCCCUAAAGCUUUGAGAAAAGAUUAAAGAGGAUUUCAGACCCUAACCCCCCCCCAUUCAGUCGCUCUCUCUCCCCCCUUAACUCUGUCCCUUUACCACUUUUACUGGCCCAGAUCUGACCAAUCACGUCCCGUGCUGCGUGGGACAGCCCCAAAGACCACCAGGGAUGUGGGGGGGGGGGUGUUACAGUAAUUAAAUUAGAGCGCAGCAUCACAGCUCAGAGGUUGGGAUUAAUCCUUUUAGGGCUGGAGUACAGAGCGGACCAGAACACACUUUCAGCCCCGGCCCUCAGAGACCCCGAGCACAGAGUCAAAAAGGCUUUUCCGCCCUGCUGCAAAUGAGCCGCUCGUCUGCUAUGGGGCAGGCCCCCAAAACUCAGCGCCCCAAAACUCAGCGCACCCAAAACUCAGCGCCCCAAAAACUCAGCGCCCCCAAAAACUCAGCGCCAAGUCCGGCUGCAACACUCACUCAUGUAUGUGAGUGAGUGAGUGAGUGUGUGUGUGUCAGACUCUUCCGUGACCAUCCUCUGGUGCCUGUUUUCAGUACGCUAGUGCUGUCCGAAGGGAAGGCUCAGUGUCGGCCGUCGUCAUGGAGACCACAGCAACGCUCCACGAAGGCGACAGUGCUGGCGGCCCCUCCCCCCGACACAAUGACAUAUAACCUCUUUGUGGCGGUGCUUGCUGCGCACAAUGGCGCUAAUUUGUGUUGUACACACUGUUUGUUCAGAGGCAGCGCUGAGCAGCCCAAAGGUAUUUUAAAGUCUCCACUGCUGACUGCACCCAUCAUGCUAACAGCAGAACCCGCUCCCCCACUGAACCCCCAGCCUGGCUGCCAUCCCGAGCUACUGCACACACUGAUGCCCAGGUCUGUAUUCCGCUCAGGUGAACCACACCCACUUGUCUCACAAAAGGUUAAAAGCGGAGUGCUUCCAAUUCAGGGAGUGGGUUUUGUUUACGAAGCUGCUAAAGUAACUGUGCACUCAAUGACACACCUGUUAAAACAGACAAUCCCCAAAACGUUUCUGUAUUUCCCACGUUAAACUGACCUGCUCUUUUACCAUUUCUAAUCUCAGACAGAACUGGGCUUUCACUCUACAGCUCUCUGCUCGUAAGCAUUCAAUUUACACUGAUAAAAAUCUGAAGAGGAAAAACCUCCUGUGGAACCUCGUGAUAUACAUCUGAGGUUAGACUGCCAUCUACUGUCUGGCAGCAGUAUUACAUGUAGAUCUGCAAAGUUACACAAUUCCUGAAAAGGAAGCAUUUUUCAUGCAAAAUUGCAUGCACCAAGGACAACAGGAUAGGAAUCCUUAUUUUCAGGUCACUGCAGAAAACUAUACGGGAGUAUAUUAAAAAUUAUACUAAAAAAGAAGACAAAUGCACAACUGCAAAUUAACUAAGUCAACUAAAAGACCAUUAGCAGAAAUGCAAUGACAUGUUGCUUUAUUUCAUUCCAAAUGGCUUUCGGCUGGAUCAGCAUAUCACUUCCCAUUGUUUCCUUAGUGAAAGCCAUUCUACCCCUUUCUGUGUGCACCUUGGGGACCUUAAAGGUCUUCAGCUGGUCCAGGGAAUUUAAGUAUUUGUGCUCGUGAAAAUUUAGUGCGGACUUGAUAACAGCAGCUCAGAGGUGUUCUGCGUGCGUGCACGGCACUGCGGUGGUUUCGGUAAUGACCACGGAGGACAAACGGAUGUGUCACAGACAACCUGAGGAGCUCUGUCUCGUACGUCUUUUGGCGCAACAUCCUGUUACGAAUAAAUAUCCGAUUAAUUCCUAGGGUCCCCGAAUGAUAUAGAAACUCAAGCUGGAAGUUGUCGCUUUAUUGCUGGGGUAAAUCACUGUGGUGCGAUUUAAAUCUGAAAAGAAGUGACAGGGUGCGCGGCUGCUUGCACUGAGACAUCAGAAUAGGAGGCUGAACCAGAGUGGGACAAUCUCGAGUGUGUUUGACAGACUAUGGACUUCAUUUCCCAUCAGCCCCUCCAAAAGGCACUGCCACCUUUCCGCCCCCAGAUCUUGUGACAGAAGAAAUGCAUUUGCUACGAAGUUAAUGAGAAGUAAAUCUUACCAAAUAAUAUAUACUUACAACAAAGCUUUUUCAGUAUUACACCUUUAUCAUUUAGUUGUGAAAUUGUUAUGUCAGAAAUUAAUAUCCGGGCCACUCAGAAUUGAUAUUUUGUGCUCAUUUAAACAUUUUAAUCAGCCUAGUUCAUCAUAACUGAUGCUUUAUGUUAUCAACUAAUUGACUUUGGGGAUGAACAUUGGGCUCUAACCUUCUGAAAGUGUGGAUCCCUGCUCACUGAAGCCAAAAUGAAAGGCUCAGUGUUCGCCGAUCCAACCACUGUACAGACUGAAGACAGCGAAUCUGCGCAGCGCCAGAUUUGCAGUGACGUCAAUGGAUAUCGCUGUGUGCAGAAUAUUUCCUGCGCCUACGUUUCCUACUUCCUGCCUUGGGCUGCUGCACUGCCACUCCAUGCUCUGGCACCUGUGGGUCAGAUUUCUGUGGCAAACCUGAAACGAAAGAGUCAGCAGCUACAGGUACAGUUUAGUUUAAAAUGUUGUUCUGUUAAACAGAUCUUGUGUCAGUCAGAGAAAAUUUGAUGUCUCAUUUUUUGACAGUUGAAACCGUGAUGUGGAUUAAAGUGGACAUGCAGUACGAGUGGAGUAACAGGUGGAUAGUCCGUAGGGAUGAUGAGUAAAACAUUCCUGUAGUAAGAACCUUUUGGGCUUUGAUGGUGAAGUGGCUCGGCCCGCUGCUGUCUCUGCUAACUCAGUGUGGAUGUCCAGCGCGGGCGAUGACAGUGUGAAAUCCAAACAGCAUAACUUCAGCAUCCAGCCUGAGCAGCGCGGGGGCAGAGAGCCCUGGUUCCUCAGGGGGGGAGGCUGACAGGAGAGGGCAGGUGUUCGUGACGCUCCACUCGCUUCCCCCUAUCUCAGGAAUGUUCAUUAGCCUUUCAGUUCUCCCCGGGGGAACGACUCUCUGAAACAUCCCCCGCUCUCCUACGCACUGCCACGCAGUGCUGAUUAGCACCCAGAAUGAGCCCACUCAAGACUCCAUAAAUGCUAACUGGUAAUAGAAACGUACGCUGGCUUUAUCUGAGCCGUGUGUGGGCUCCGUGCGUCCAGCUUGGGCACGUGCGCGCUCGCCAUCCCUGUGCUAUGCCCCGCAAACACGCGGCUCGUCUACGGCGCUGCUGCUGGAGUCUCGCGGCUCGUUUACAGCGCUGCUGCUGGAGUCUCGCGGCUCGUCUACGGCGCUGCUGCUGGAGUCUCAGUGUUUCUCACCAGCGUGAAGGCUCACGGGCGGCCGUUUGCCUCCUGCAGGGCGGCCGCAGCUGCUCGUCUGACUUUGCGCGCUGGAUUCUUCCCUUUGGCACCGCGCUCUGUCUUACACAGAGAGCCUCCGGUACGCUGUUUCUAAUGAUACCCAACCCGUCUGAGACGCAAACCUCUAACCAGAAACACCGAGUUAUGAACCAAACAAACAAACAAACAAAAACAAGCCCAGAAACUGAACAACUCUUAAUACCUUAAAACACGGGAAUAAUCCUGAAAUCUUUGUUUUCAUUCAUCAUGAUCGUAUCAGAGGUAGUGCCUAUCUGAGUUCGGGAAGCACAUUUUAAAUCUUGUCUUGUGACGUGUAACUCUUUCUUGUUAAAAAUCAGUGGCAAAACUGGUCCUAAAACAAAAAGGAUAACACUUCCGUGGCAAGAUGAGAGUGUAAGUGUGUAUUGCUCUCUGUGUGCUAGCAUAGGGCUUCAUGGCCUUGGAUGGGUAUAUAAAGUACAGUACAUGUUACAGAUACGCUGAUAAUUGCAGAUCAUGUUUGUCAUACUGCAGUUGUCGGGCACUUUAAGUCCGCUUGGUGAAAGGGUAAAGCAUGGCAAUCUUUUCUGGAAUGGAUUAUAAUUGGCCUGUUACUAUUUUAAUCUUUAAGCUUUACUUGUCUGUUUGGCAUUUGUCAUUUUUCAAUCCUGUGGGUAUCGCCUAACAAGACACCAGUAGGAGUACAGGGGCGGGCCCUGAACACCACGGGCUGUGCAGUGGGCCCUGAACACCACGGGCUGUGCAGUGGGCCCUGAACACCACGGGCUGUGCAGCGGGCCCUGAACACCACGGGCUGUGCAGUGGGCCCUGAACACCACGGGCUGUGCAGUGGGCCCUGAACACCACGUGCUGUGCGCUGACUGUGAGCGUGUGGAGUUAAUGUGGAAUUAGCUCUCUGUAUUUUCUGUAUCUGUAUUUGUCUUACUUUUUAGAAAAAUAAUUGAUUUCUUUUUUUGAACAUGGAGCUUCCAUUUUUAGAUGGCUGUUGAAAGGGCCGUGGGGAGCUCUGACAGCGUUUCCACGCUGCUGAACAGACGGUCUGACGCGAAGUGUCUGUCACACGAGAGAAGAUUCCAGAAGUAGAAGAGAUUGAGAGCCUUGCCUGUCUCUCCUGCUCCAGUAUCACCUCCUUUUUAUUCACUUAUUCACAAGGGACCGUGUACAAUAUUACACAUAAAUGCUAUGUUAUAUUAUGUUAUGAAUUCUGUUUUUUGAUGUAUUGGUGCUGGCAGAUUGAAUGAGUUUAUGAUAAUUUUCAUCUGUAAAAUGUGCCAAACGCAAAGAGAAUGUAGCAUGGAUUUAUUAUUUUAAUAAAGUAAAUGUUUUUUUUAA